GGAAAAUGGCCCUAGGCCAUAAUGUUUUUGGUGAUUAAUGACAACAUAGUCAUUGGGACUAAUGUGUUUGCAAGAUGUACCUUUGUAGUUGUUUUAUAGGUUCCAAGGAUGAAUUCCAAAACCAUCAAAAUGAGAAGAAAAAGAAAGGCUUAGAAUAAUUCUAAGGCCUACAAAUGAUGCUAUUUGAACCCGGGACAAAG
rnacentral:lncRNA from 1 species